rnacentral:rRNA from 1 species
GACGAACGCUGGCGGCGUGCUUAACACAUGCAAGUCGAACGGAAAGGCCCUGCUUUUGUGGGGUGCUCGAGUGGCGAACGGGUGAGUAACACGUGAGUAACCUGCCCUUGACUUUGUGAUAACUUCAGGAAACUGGGGCUAAUGCCGGAUAGGAGCUCCUGCUGCAUGGUGGGGGUUGGAAAGUUUCGGCGGUUGGGGCUGGACUGGCGGCUUAUCAGCUUGUUGGUGUGGUAGUGGCUUACCAAGGGUUUGACGGGUAGCCGGCCUGAGAGGGUGACCGGCCACAAGGGUACUACGGGACGGAGCAGACGCCUACGGGCCGCAGCAGGGGGAAAUAUGGCGCAACGGGGGGAAGCCUGAGGCAGAAGCGUUGGGUGCGGGAUGACGGCUUUCGGGUUGUGAACCGCUUUGGCAGGUGACGAAGCGUGAGUGACGGUAAUGGAUAAAGAAGCAACGGCUAACUACGUG